UACGUAGGGGGCAAGCGUUGUCCGGAAUCAUUGGGCGUAAAGAGCGCGUAGGCGGCCCGGUAAGUCCGCUGUAAAAGUCCAGGGCUCAACCCUGGAAAGCCGGUGGAUACUGUCGGGCUAGAGUACGGAAGAGGCAAGUGGAAUUCCUGGUGUAGCGGUGGAAUGCGCAGAUAUCAGGAGGAACACCUAUAGCGAAGGCAGCUUGCUGGGACGUUACUGACGCUAAGGCGCGAAAGCGUGGGGAGCGAACAGG
rnacentral:rRNA from 1 species